rnacentral:rRNA from 1 species
CCUACGGGAGGCAGCAGUGGGGAAUAUUGCACAAUGGGGGAAACCCUGAUGCAGCGAAGCCGCGUGAGUGAAGAAGUAAUUCGUUAUGUAAAGCUCUAUCAGCCGGGAAGAAAAUGACGGUACCUGUGUAAGAAGCCCCGGCUAACUACGGUCCAGCAGCCGCGGGAAUACGUAGGGCGCAAGCGUUAUCCCGAUUUACUGGGUGUAAAGGGAGCGUAGACGGGAGUGCAAGUUUGGAGUGAAAGGCGGGGGGUCAACCCCCGGACUGCCCUUGAAACUGUACGGCUUGAGUGCAGGAGAGGUAAGUGGAAUGCCUAGUGUAGCGGUGAAAUGCGUAGAUAUUAGGAGGAACACCGGUGGCGAAGGCGGCUUACUGGACUGUAACUGACGUUGAGGCUCGAAAGCGUGGGUAUCAAACAGGAUUAGAUACCCCAGUAGUC